rnacentral:rRNA from 1 species
AUUGAACGCUGGCGGCAGGCCUAACACAUGCAAGUCGAACGGUAACAGGAAGCAGCUUGCUGCUUCGCUGACGAGUGGCGGACGGGUGAGUAAUGUCUGGGAAACUGCCUGAUGGAGGGGGAUAACUACUGGAAACGGUAGCUAAUACCGCAUAACGUCGCAAGACCAAAGAGGGGGACCUUAGGGCCUCUUGCCAUCGGAUGUGCCCAGAUGGGAUUAGCUAGUAGGUGGGGUAACGGCUCACCUAGGCGACGAUCCCUAGCUGGUCUGAGAGGAUGACCAGCCACACUGGAACUGAGACACGGUCCAGACUCCUACGGGAGGCAGCAGUGGGGAAUAUUGCACAAUGGGCGCAGGCCUGAUGCAGCCAUGCCGCGUGUAUGAAGAAGGCCUUUGGGUUGUAAAGUACUUUCAGCGGGGAGGAAGGGAGUAAAGUUAAUACCUUUGCUCAUUGACGUUACCCGCAGAAGAAGCACCGGCUAACUCCGUG